rnacentral:rRNA from 1 species
UACAGAGGGGGCAAGCGUUGUUCGGAAUUACUGGGCGUAAAGGGCGCGUAGGCGGCCUUCUAAGUCGAACGUGAAAUCCCUGGGCUCAACCCAGGAACUGCGUCCGAUACUGAAAGGCUUGAAUCCGGGAGAGGGAUGCAGAAUUCCAGGUGUAGCGGUGAAAUGCGUAGAUAUCUGGAGGAAUACCGGUGGCGAAGGCGGGUCUCUGGGCCGUAACUGACGCUGAGGAGCGAAAGCGUGGGGAGCGAACAGG